rnacentral:sRNA from 1 species
GUAUUUCAUAUUACCCCAUUGUGGUAGGUGUUCUUAUAACUAAAAAAUUAAGUAUGAAGAUUUUCAUUAAAACUGAAAGCAUUUCUAAAAUUGAAGAUACAAACCUUUGUGGUAGUUAAUUAUUAGAAGAGAAAACCAAGACUUAUUAAUUCAUGUCUUUCAUUCACAGUCGGUUGCCAAGGAAACAGGGUUCUAUCUUAUACUGUACAACAGGAAUCAUCCUUCAGUGGCUCCAGUCAGACCCGUAUUUGUCCAGUGUUAGUCAUAUCGUACUUGAUGAAAUCCAUGAAAGAAAUCUGCAGUCAGAUGUUUUAAUGACUGUUGUUAAAGAUCUUCUCAAUUUUCGAUCUGACUUGAAAGUAAUAUUGAUGAGUGCAACACUGAAUGCGGAAAAGUUUUCAGAAUAUUUUGGUAACUGUCCAAUGAUACAUAUACCUGGUUUUACCUUUCCGGUUAUGGAAUAUCUUUUGGAAGAUGU